rnacentral:lncRNA from 1 species
GGAUUCUGAAACCCCAUUUUAGAGAGAGAAACAAAUCGAACUAGAGAGAGAAAGUAAUUGCAUAACUGGUUGGAAUCGAUUAUCUUCAGCAGAGAAGAUUUUCCAUGAAAUUUUGUCCACUUUUAAGCGGACAAGGUAAAUUAAUCAUCAUUCAAUAAAUUCCAUCAAUUGCCUUCCUCCCUAUUUCAUAUACAUGAUAAUUCAUGUUUUUUCGCCAUUAAUGGCAUAAAUUAAGCUUUAACUCGUUGCUUUCCACUUUGAAUGGGUAACCGUAAAGCUAUAUAACGAAAAGUACUUAUUUUUCCGACUUUUUGCUUUGAUUUUUUUUUUAAAAUUUGUUUUUGGAAACGUUUUUUUUGCUUUUUGAUUUUAGGAAUUGAAGUUAGGGUUUCUAUGUUGGCGGAUCAAUUACUGAAGGACAUUUAAUUUUAUGAUUUUCGGAGUUAUUAGGGUUAGGAUCAGGAUCCAGAUUGAAGAUUAAAAGAGUUUUGGGGUUCUGUAGGGGCUCAUUGAACUGUACUUAAAAUUGUCACUUGUAUAUGGGCGAUCUUUUGAAGUACCAAUUGGGUAUUUGGGCAUGGAAGGAGAUUGCAAAUACAAGAUUGUGUAGACAGUGAUCAGGUACCUGGAAAUUUUCUGGUUUUUCAGGAUAUAUGAGUUCUGGGUUUUUGUUUUUAUCAAAUUUUUAAGGCUCAGUCUUAUUAGGGGAUGAUUUUGGCAGUUGGGUUUGGUCAUAAAGUUGAGGUGAUGUGUCUUUGCUGGCAUAGCAGGAAAGGAAGAAGAAGACCAGAUUUUAGUGAGCUGUUUUAUUUUCUCAAAAAGCCAUUUGGGUUAACAUAGUUUACAGGAACUACCUCUAAAGUUUGUAUUUUGUGACUGUGAUACUACAGUAACUUGGAUUAAUUUAUUAGGGAGCUGUGAUUUUGAAUUGAGUUUCUAUACGAGUGUGCUCAUUUCUUGUUUGCAUUUGGGGUGAAG